AGGGAGUCUAGUGAUGAAGCUUGAAAACCCCACAUCCUUUGCUGCUCCGUUGUGGCCAUGUGUGCCUGGUUUAUCUGCUGUGUAUCACUUUGCCUCCUUCGGGCAGGCAUUUUUGAUGCUGCGGUCACUCAGACGCCAAGCCACCUGAUCAAAAUGGAAGGAGCAAAAGCAACGAUGAAGUGUAACCCUGAAAAGGGGCACACUGCUGUUUUCUGGUACCAACAGAGGCAGAACAAAGAGUUAAACUUCCUGAUUUACUUUCAGGGAGAGAGUCCCGUUGAUCAAACAGACAUGGUCAGGAAGCGAUUCUCAGCUGAGUGUCCCUCAGACUCACCGUGCAGCCUGGAAAUCACAACGUCUGAAGCUGGAGACUCUUCCCUGUUCUUUUGCGCCAGCAGUCAGUCCACAGCGCUGAAACGUCAGCUUCCCUCAGUUCACAAACCCACCACGGAGCCCGCUUUAAGAUGCAGGUGAUGCUCUGGGUUGGAAAGAAGCGAGAGAAACUGUCUGGAGGCAGCGUCGACCGCAGCAGACUUCACACAGGGUAGAGAGAGUUCAGAAGAGGCGCUUCAGAAACAGCACGUUCACACCAAGUCAGGAACGGCUGCUCCUCACGUUGUAUUUCUCUCUCUGCUUUGUCUUUCUGGCCCUGCACAGUUCUUUCGUGUGGUCUUCAUGGUGAGAACUGGGUGAUCACCAAGAUCGCAAAGCUGGCUGGCAUCGUUUUGCCACUCUGAAAAGUCUACUUAUGUCUGAGCCCAUAUUAAAAACACUAAGAAAAAGGGAGUUGGUAAUGAUCUAGUCAUAGUUUUUUUUUUUGGUGAACAUUUAACUCUGCUCACAUAUGUAGUAUCUUAAGAUCACAUAAUACAGUGUUGCUGAUUGU